UAAUUUCUUCCAAGGGCUUGUAAGUGUAACACCAAAGACAAAUCCCAAAAUAAAAUAGAUUUAUAAGUUGAAUUCCACUAACAAGAUAAUAAUAGUACUCCAAUUUACCUCUAUUGAGGUUCCUAUCAGGUAACCAAUUCCUUUCUUUACCACUAUAUUUAUGCACAAGUGACACAAUAAAUGUACCAACAUAGCUACCAAUAGCUAUAACUAUGCAAUAUAUAGCUGUAGCAGUACUUCUCAUGCUUUCAGGUGCUUGAUCAAACAAAAAUUCAAAAAGUCCAACAGACAUGAAAACAUCAGCAAGUCCAUGAAAGAAAUAUUGAGGUACUAACCAAAACACACUUAUAGGAAUAAUUGCUUUUGGAUCAUCCAAUAAGUUGUACUUAGAAGCAACUUCUUUUCUUUUGAUUUCUAUAAAGGCUGAAAUUAAUGUGGCUACAAUGUUGAUUAUGAAUCCUAUUCCCAUUCUUUGUAUGCAUGUGAUUCCAGAAGGAUUGUUUGUGAAUCUACGAGUGAACGGGACGAAAAGGCGUUCGUAUAGAAUAACUCCUAUCAUUGUAGUUAUGACACUGAAAAUUGACAUGUUGGCUGGUGAAAUUUGGAAUGAGUGAGAGAGGUGA
rnacentral:lncRNA from 1 species